rnacentral:rRNA from 1 species
UGACCUCAGCUCAGUCG